CCAAGGAGUCUAACAUGUGCGCGAGUCAUGGGGUUCUACGAAACCUAAAGGCGCAAUGAAAGUGAAGGCAGCCUCGGGUUUGCCUAGGUGGGAUCCUCUCCCUGGCGGGGAGGCGCACCACCGGCCCGUCUCGUCCGCAUCGUCGGUGAGGCGGAGCUAGAGCGUACAUGUUGGGACCCGAAAGAUGGUGAACUAUGCUUGAGUAGGACGAAGCCAGAGGAAACUCUGGUGGAGGUCCGUAGCGAUUCUGACGUGCAAAUCGAUCGUCAAACUUGAGUAUAGGGGCGAAAGACUAAUCGAACCAUCUAGUAGCUGGUUCCCUCUGAAGUUUCCCUCAGGAUAGCUGGCACCCCUCGGCAGUUUCAUCCGGUAAAGCGAAUGAUUAGAGGCCUUGGGGACGAAACGACCUCAACCUAUUCUCAAACUUUAAAUGGGUGAGAAGUCCGACUCGCUUAACUGGAGUCGGGCCUUCGAAUGCGUGGUGCCAAGUGGGCCACUUUUG
rnacentral:rRNA from 1 species